rnacentral:tRNA from 1 species
GUGGCUCAGUGGUAGAGUGCUUGCCUAGCAUGCAUGAGGCCCUGGGUUCAUUCCUCAGC